rnacentral:rRNA from 1 species
AUUGAACGCUGGCGGCAUGCCUUACACAUGCAAGUCGAACGGUAACGCGGGGCAACCUGGCGACGAGUGGCGAACGGGUGAGUAAUGCAUCGGAACGUGCCUGGUAGUGGGGGAUAACUGCUAGAAAGAGCAGCUAAUACCGCAUACGACCAGAGGGUGAAAGGGGGGGAUCGCCAGACCUCUCGCUAUCAGUGCGGCCGAUGUCGGAUUAGCUAGUUGGUGGGGUAAAGGCCCACCAAGGCAACGAUCCGUAGCUGGUCUGAGAGGACGACCAGCCACACUGGGACUGAGACACGGCCCAGACUCCUACGGGAGGCAGCAGUGGGGAAUUUUGGACAAUGGACGCAAGUCUGAUCCAGCAAUGCCGCGUGCGGGAAGAAGGCCUUCGGGUUGUAAACCGCUUUUGUUAGGGAAGAAAUUCUCCGGGCUAAUACCCAGGGGGGAUGACGGUACCUAAAGAAUAAGCACCGGCUAACUACGUGCCAGCCGCCGCGGUAA